UGGGAUCAGCCCAUGUUAGGCGCUCUUGAUUCGCCAGCGGGGAGAGGAGGAGUGACGGAGGCUGUACAUUGGUGAAGGUGGCACUGACACGAGCCCACCCACCUGUGUUGCUAGGCAACGGGAAGCCGGGCUGAGGAGGUGACGUACUGACGCAUGCAGGCGGCAGUGACGUCACCGGAAGGCGCCAGGCACCCAGAACCUGGCGGCAUGGUGAGGAGGCGGGAGAAUCACUUUGGGAGGCCGUUGAACUUGCUCCCCCUUCGUUGCCGGGCAACGGGACGCUGUGCCGAGCUGGUUGUAUGGAUGUGUGGAUGGGAUCAGCCCUUGUUAGGCGCUCUUGAUUAGCCAGCGGGGAGAGGAGGAGUGACGGAGGCUGUACAUUGGUGAAGGUGGCACUGACACGAGCCCGCCCACCUGUGUUGCUAGGCAAUGGGAAGCCGGGCUGAGGAGGUGACGUACUAACGCAUGCAGGUGGCAGUGACGUCACCGGAAGGCGCCAGGCGCCUGGAACCUGGCGGCAUGGUGAGGAGGCGGGAGAAUCACUUUGGACAGCAGGAUUCUCACUGCAGUAUGCCACAGUAUGCUUUAGCAGACAUGCUGGAGCCACAAACCACAGGGUGCCUGCAAGUGAGCAGUGAGUACUGCAGAAAUGUCCAUGGGCAGCCCAGGUACAGAAAAAGUAUCUCUCGUGGACAGUGCUGAUGUGAUGUUACGGCUUCGGUUGGACUGGUUACAGGGAGAUGAAGAUUCACCUGCAUUGCAUUGAGAAGCUGUCCUGGAUUGUGCUACUGUAUGUAUCUGCCUAAAACAGGGAGACAUUGAGCUCGGUCCCUACCACAUGUGUAGCGGGGUGAACAGCAAAGACCAUCAACCACAAUUAUAUACCAAAGUGACUGUGACAUAUAUGUAGGUGAAGUAUAGGAGUAUUUAAUUUGCAGUGUGGUGAAUUUCUGUAAUUUAUGUUUAGAAUAUCAUUGUGUGCUGUGUAUGUUUAGUAGGGCUAGAGGCGUCAUUGUUUGGAGAGUGAUAAAAUGGAAAGAGAAAAAGUACCAGCCAACCAGCUCAUAACUGUCACUGACCAUUAGUACAUUUAGGUGAUACAAAAAUAAUGUAAAAAGGGCGUGAAAACACCCAUUAUCAAAUGAUUUUACUACAAAUAAUAUUGAUAAAUAUGGCCAUUAGACCUAAAACCAGACUCUUCGACAUCUACAUCUGAGACUAGGGGGGCUAUUUUCUAAGACUUGGAGAGAGAUCAAAUGGACGGAGAUAAAUUACCAGCCAAUCAGCUCCUAACUGCCAUUUUUCAAACUCAUCCUGUAACAUGGCAGUUUAUUAUAUUUUUUAUUUUUUUUCCAUCUGGUACUUUUCUAUUUUCACCAAACUCUAAGUUUUUCUUAUUCUUAUUUUUGUCCUAUUUCUGUCUUGUUUAUGUGUUUUUGUGUUAUCAGUAUAUACCGGUAUUUCAAAAAAUUUUUUAACUCUGAUAUUUAU